rnacentral:rRNA from 1 species
CCUACGGGUGGCAGCAGUAGGGAAUAUUGCUCAAUGGGGGAAACCCUGAAGCAGCAAAGCCGCGUGGAGGAUGAAGGUUUUCGGAUUGUAAACUCCUUUUGUUCGAGAAGCUAAUGCCGGUAUCUAACGACUAAGCACCGGCUAACUCCGUGCCAGCAGCCGCGGUAAAACGGAGGGUGCAAGCGUUACUCGGAAUCACUGGGCUUAAAGGGCGCGUAGGCGGGAUAGCAGGUCCGGUGUGAAAACCGAUGGCUUAACCAUAGAACUGCCUUUGAAACUGUUAUUCUAGAGUAGGCGAGAGGUAGGUGGAAUGCGUGGUGUAGCGGUAAAAUGCGUAGAUAUCAAGAAGAAUACUGAUUGCGAAGGCAACAUGCUAGCACCUAACUGACGCUGAUGCACGAAAGCGUGGGUAGCGAACAGGAUUAGAUACCCGGGUAGUC